CCUACGGGAGGCAGCAGUGGGGAAUAUUGGGCAAUGGAGGAAACUCUGACCCAGCGACGCCGCGUGCGGGAUGAAGGCCUUCGGGCUGUAAACCGCUUUCAGUAGGGAAGAAGCGAAAGUGACGGUACCUACAAAAGAAGCACCGGCUAACUAUGUGCCAGCAGCCGCGGUAAUACAUAGGGUGCAAGCGUUGUCCGGAAUUAUUGGGCGUAAAGAGCUCGUAGGUCGUUUGUUACGUCGGAUGUGAAAACCUGAGGCUCAACCUCAGGCCUGCAUUCGAUACGGGCAAACUAGAGUUUGGUAGGGGAGACUGGAAUUCCUGGUGUAGCGGUGGAAUGCGCAGAUAUCAGGAGGAACACCAAUGGCGAAGGCAGGUCUCUGGGCCAAUACUGACACUGAGGAGCGAAAGUCUGGGGAGCGAACAGGAUUAGAUACCCUGGUAGUCCAGACCGUAAACGGUGGGCACUAGUUGUGGGAACCUUCCACGGUUUCUGCGACGCAGCUAACGCAUUAAGUGCCCCGCCUGGGGAGUACGAUCGCAAGAUUAAAACUCAAAUGAAUUGACCGGNNGAGAGNGCGACGACGACGACGAGGAGAG
rnacentral:rRNA from 1 species